rnacentral:rRNA from 1 species
UACGUAGGCAGCGAGCGUUGUUCGGAGUUACUGGGCGUAAAGCGUGCGUAGGCGGUUUUCUAAGUUUGGUGUGAAAUCUCCCGGCUCAACUGGGAGGGUGCGCCGAAGACUGGAAGGCUAGAGUGUGGGAGAGGUAAGCGGAAUUCCUGGUGUAGCGGUGAAAUGCGUAGAUAUCUGGAGGAACACCGGUGGCGAAGGCGACAGCCUGGACCGGUAUUGACGCUGAGGCGCGAAAGCCAGGGGAGCAAACGGG